rnacentral:lncRNA from 1 species
CAGGCGGAAGAGGACAGGCAGAUGGACACUGAGGCUGCUGCAUCUGAAGCCCCCCAGGAUGUGACCUACGCCCAGCUGCACAGCUUGACCCUCAGACGGGAGGCAACUGAGCCUCCUCCAUCCCAGGAAGGGCCCUCUCCAGCUGUGCCCAGCAUCUACGCCACUCUGGCCAUCCACUAGCCCAGGGGGGGACGCAGACCCCACACUCCAUGGAGUCUGGAAUGCAUGGGAGCUGCCCCCCCAGUGGACACCAUUGGACCCCACCCAGCCUGGAUCUACCCCAGGAGACUCUGGGAACUUUUAGGGGUCACUCAAUUCUGCAGUAUAAAUAACUAAUGUCUCUACAAUUUUGAAAUAAAGCAACAGACUUCUCAAUAAUCAAUGAAGUAGCUGAGAAAACUAAGUCAGAAAGUGCAUUAAACUGAAUCACAAUGUAAAUAUUACACAUCAAGCGAUGAAACUGGAAAACUACAAGCCACGAAUGAAUGAAUUAGGAAAGAAAAAAAGUAGGAAAUGAAUGAUCUUGGCUUUCCUAUAAGAAAUUUAGGGCAGGGCACGGUGGCUCACGCCUGUAAUUCCAGCACUUUGGGAGGCCGAGGCGGGCAGAUCACGAGUUCAGGAGAUCGAGACCAUCUUGGCCAACAUGGUGAAACCCUGUCUCUCCUAAAAAUACAAAAAUUAGCUGGAUGUGGUGGCAGUGCCUGUAAUCCCAGCUAUUUGGGAGGCUGAGGCAGGAGAAUCGCUUGAACCAGGGAGUCAGAGGUUUCAGUGAGCCAAGAUCGCACCACUGCUCUCCAGCCUGGCGACAGAGGGAGACUCCAUCUCAAAUU